UACGGGGGGAGCAAGCGUUGUUCGGAUUUACUGGCGUAAAGGCGCGUAGGCGGCCAGCACAAGUCAGUUGUGAAAUCUCCGGGCUUAACUCGGAAAGGUCAACUGAUACUGUGCGGCUAGAGUGCAGAAGGGGCAACUGGAAUUCUCGGUGUAGCGGUGAAAUGCGUAGAUAUCGAGAGGAACACCUGCGGCGAAGGCGGGUUGCUGGGCUGACACGUGACGCUGGAUGCGCGAAAGCCAGGGGAGCGAACGGG
rnacentral:rRNA from 1 species